UACAGAGGUCCCAAGCGUUGUUCGGAUUCAUUGGGCGUAAAGGGUGCGUAGGUGGUAGACUAAGUCGGAUGUGAAAUCCCAGGGCUCAACCCUGGAACUGCAUUCGAUACUGGCCUGCUCGAGGACUGGAGAGGAGAUUGGAAUUUAUGGUGUAGCAGUGAAAUGCGUAGAUAUCAUAAGGAAGACCAGUGGCGAAGGCGAAUCUCUGGACAGUUCCUGACACUGAGGCACGAAGGCUAGGGGAGCAAACGGG
rnacentral:rRNA from 1 species